GCUGAAGAACGUAGCGAAAUGCGAUACUUGGUGUGAAUUGCAGAAUCCCGUGAACCAUCGAGUCUUUGAACGCAAGUUGCGCCCGAAGCCAUCAGGUUGAGGGCACGUCUGCCUGGGCGUCACAUAUCGUUGCCCAAUGCCUAUUGCAGUGCAAUAGGAAUUUCUAGGGCGAAUGAUGGCUUCCCGUGAGCGUUGUUGCCUCGCGGUUGGUUGAAAAUCGAGUCCUUGGUAGGGUGUGCCAUGGUAGAUGGUGGUCGAGUUAGAACGAUACCGAUCAUGUGCAUGCUCCCCAAAAUAUGGCCUCUAUGACCCACACGCGUCUUUUGACGCUCAUGACGAGACCUCAGGUCAGGCGGGGCUACCCGCUGAAUUUAAGCAUAUCAAUAAGCGGAGGA
rnacentral:misc_RNA from 1 species